rnacentral:rRNA from 1 species
UACGGAGGGGGCUAGCGUUGUUCGGAAUUACUGGGCGUAAAGAGCACGUAGGCGGUCCGCUAAGUCGGGCGUGAAAGCCCGGGGCUUAACCCCGGAAUUGCGCUCGAGACUGGCAGGCUGGAGUCCGGAAGGGGAGAGUGGAAUUCCCAGUGUAAAGGUGAAAUUCGUAGAUAUUGGGAAGAACACCGGUGGCGAAGGUGGCUCUCUGGUCCGGUACUGACGCUGAGGUGCGAAAGCGUGGGGAGCAAACACG